CUGAAAUGAAGAGUAAAUGUUUACUAAUUAUAUAAUAAUGUAUAAUCAUUUAUGAUGUGGUAAAUUAAAAUUAAAUGCUAAUUACUACAUUACACAAGUCCUAUAAAAGGCAACACACCAAACGCGUUUCCAUCAAAGAAUUUGCAGAAAUGAAACUCUUAGCAAUUUUUGUGACUUUGUGCGCCAUUUGCAGCGUUUAUUCUAAAAGGCCAACUAAGCCUCAUUCUGUGAUAGCGAGAGAAGGUAUUGUUCAUAGUCCUUCAAAACUGACCAAGAAAGGAGCCUAGUUCAACCGAUUUAUUCCUUGAAUGAAUAAACUGAAAAUGUAAAUGAGAAAAAAA